rnacentral:pre_miRNA from 1 species
AUUUGGCUGUGUGCAGAUGGUGUUCAGCACCAAGGGCAGGCAUGUUUGGCUGUGUGUUGAUGGUGUUCAGCACCAAGGGCAGGCAUAUUUGGCU